rnacentral:tRNA from 1 species
GGUGGGUUCGCAUAGCGGCAAUUGCGGCGGACUGUAAAUCCGCUGACCUAACGGUCUACAUUGGUUCGAGUCCAAUACCCACCACCA